CGCGGUUAUACCAAGUGAUUAAGUUAUAUCUUUAGGUAAAAAGACAGUUAGGUUUAUAAAAAACUCUAGUUUAUUAAACAUCUAUAGAAAAGUAAAAUUUGUAUAUAGAUAGCUAAUUUAAUAGUAACUAUAAUUCUGAAGCUGUGAUAGUUUUGAGGGAAACUGGGAUUAGAUACCCCAUUAUUCUUAACUGUAAAUAUAAUUAAAUUUACCAGAGUACUAUGAAUAGUUAAAAAUUUAAAACUCAAAGGGCUUGGCGGUGUUUUAGACCUAUCAGGGGAACCUGUCUCAUAAUCGACAAUCCACGUAAUAUCUAACCUUAUUUUGUAAUCAGUUUGUAUACCGUCGUCGUCAGGUAACCUUUAAAAAUACAGAAGUUAGCAAUUAAAAUUACUUUAAAUUAAGACGUCAGAUCAAGGUGCAGCCUAUAAUAAGGAGAGGAUGGGUUACAAUUAUAAAAAUUAUAAUUACGGAAAUCUAAAUGAAACUUAUUUUGAAGGAGGACUUGAAAGUAAACUAAAAUACAUAAAUAGUUUGAAUAAGGCUCUG
rnacentral:rRNA from 1 species